GUAAUCUGCCAUUGAUGAUUGGUAGUUUGAUGUUGGUAACCAAUAUUUUCACAUUCUUUGCAUGGCCCAUGCGGCCUCGAUUGGGAAGUUAAGAGUGAUGCGCUGCUUAAACAUGAUGCGCUGCUUUGCUCAAGUUCCUUUGCCAUUGGUAGCAGCUGGUCAUUUUGAUGUUUGGUUUAUUAUGAAUUUAUGAUUUGCGAUUAUUGAGAUGUCAAAUUAAAAUAAACAUACUUUAGGAAGAUAUAUCUGCAUGUUUUUCUAUUCGCUUCUAUCCUGUGUUAGUAAUCCUUCUCCCUCUCUCUUUUGUGUGCACGUGAAAACUAAAUUGUUAAAUUGUCAGCUUGUUGACUCUUAAAAUUGUGCAGAAAGCUCAAAUUAUAAAAGAGGUGAAACCUGUUGAAGCAGUGACGGAGGAGAAGUUUAGCAAGGGAACACUGGUUGAGGUUAGUAGUGAUGAAGAA
rnacentral:misc_RNA from 1 species